UUUUUUUCCCUUCUACCCUUCACUUCUUAUGUGUACUUUUAUUUUUUUACUAGCAAGUAGGUGAUGAGAAAAAGUAUAUAUUGACGGUCAUGUGGCAGGGAACUGGCGAAUAUGAAUAGGGCGGACGAUCCCAAGCCCGGGACUAGGAUUUUAGCAAUAUACAUGGAGGUUCUGUGCACAAGGGCAGUUACACAGCUAAGUGAUACGCCAAGCGUAAGCAGCGCCCUGAACACUUCCAGUGAUACCUGGAAACCUGCAAACUGAAAUUGGGAACCACAGAGGAGUAG